CCCUUAGAUGUUCUGGGCUGCACGCGCGCUACACUGAAGCGUUCAACGAGUAUUCACCUUGCCCGGGAGGGUUGGGUAAUCUUUUGAAAACGCUUCGUGAUGGGGAUAGAUUAUUGCAAUUAUUAAUCUUCAACGAGGAAUUCCUAGUAAGCGCGAGUCAUCAGCUCGCGUUGAUUACGUCCCUGCCCUUUGUACACACCGCCCGUCGCUCCUACCGAUUGAAUGGUCCGGUGAAAUGUUCGGACCGCGACAAGGCGGACGGUUCGCUGUCAGCUUUGCUGCGGGAAGUUCAUUAAACCUUAUCAUUUAGAGGAAGGAGAANUCGUAACA
rnacentral:rRNA from 1 species